rnacentral:rRNA from 1 species
AUUGAACGCUGGCGGCAUGCCUAACACAUGCAAGUCGAACGGGGCAGCAAUGCCUAGUGGCGGACGGGUGAGGAAUACGUAGGAAUCUGCCCUUAAGUGGGGGAUAACCAGGGGAAACCCUGACUAAUACCGCAUGAUCUCUUCGGAGCAAAGAGGGGGACCGCAAGGCCUCUCGCUUCUGGAUGAGCCUACGUCUGAUUAGCUAGUUGGUAGGGUAAAGGCUUACCAAGGCGACGAUCAGUAACUGGUCUGAGAGGAUGAUCAGUCACACCGGAACUGAGACACGGUCCGGACUCCCACGGGAGGCAGCAGUGGGGAAUAUUGGACAAUGGGCGCAAGCCUGAUCCAGCAAUGCCGCGUGUGUGAAGAAGGCCUUCGGGUUGUAAAGCACUUUAGCCUGGAAAGAAAAAACUCUGGUUAACACCCAAAGUCUUGACGGUACCAGGAGAAUAAGCACCGGCUAACUCUGUGCCAGCCGCCGCAGUAACAC